rnacentral:rRNA from 1 species
CCUACGGGAGGCAGCAGUAGGGAAUCUUCCGCAAUGGACGAAAGUCUGACGGAGCAACGCCGCGUGAACGAUGAAGGCCUUCGGGUCGUAAAGUUCUGUUGUUAGGGAAGAACAAGUGCUAGUUGAAUAAGCUGGCACCUUGACGGUACCUAACCAGAAAGCCACGGCUAACUACGUGCCAGCAGCCGCGGUAAUACGUAGGUGGCAAGCGUUGUCCGGAAUUAUUGGGCGUAAAGCGCGCGCAGGCGGUUUCUUAAGUCUGAUGUGAAAGCCCCCGGCUCAACCGGGGAGGGUCAUUGGAAACUGGGAAACUUGAGUGCAGAAGAGGAAAGUGGAAUUCCAAGUGUAGCGGUGAAAUGCGUAGAGAUUUGGAGGAACACCAGUGGCGAAGGCGACUUUCUGGUCUGUAACUGACGCUGAGGCGCGAAAGCGUGGGGAGCAAACAGGAUUAGAUACCCUGGUAGUCCACGCUGUAAACGAUGAGUGCUAAGUGUUAGAGGGUUUCCGCCCUUUAGUGCUGAAGUUAACGCAUUAAGCACUCCGCCUGGGGAGUACGGUCGCAAGCUGAAACUCAAAUUGAGUAGUUAGNGNGNGAGNGCGAGACGACACGAGGAGGAGG